rnacentral:tRNA from 2 species
UGGGGAUUGGGCGGUGGUCCGUGGCCAUGGGGCUGUUCGCCCCAAGGCGGCUCGCUGGAGGGGUCUCGAGGUUCGUUCGGUAUCGACAUCACUGCC